rnacentral:rRNA from 1 species
GAUGAACGCUGGCGGCAGGCCUAACACAUGCAAGUCGAACGAAGUCUUCGGACUUAGUGGCGGACGGGUGAGUAACACGUGGGAACGUACCUUUUGGUUCGGAACAACUCAGGGAAACUUGAGCUAAUACCGGAUGAGCCCUUAGGGGGAAAGAUUUAUCGCCGAAAGAGCGGCCCGCGUUAGAUUAGCUAGUUGGUGAGGUAAAGGCUCACCAAGGCUACGAUCUAUAGCUGGUCUGAGAGGAUGAUCAGCCACACUGGGACUGAGACACGGCCCAGACUCCUACGGGAGGCAGCAGUGGGGAAUCUUGCGCAAUGGGCGAAAGCCUGACGCAGCCAUGCCGCGUGAAUGAUGAAGGUCUUAGGAUUGUAAAAUUCUUUUACCAGGGACGAUAAUGACGGUACCUGGAGAAAAAGCCCCGGCUAACUUCGUGCCAGCAGCCGCCGUAA